AUUUGAGAUGAAAGGGCUUUUGUUCUGUAAUGAAUCAUAUGCAAAGCCUGGCUCAAUAACUCCUCUAACAAUGCCUGCAAAUAUCCCUGAAUAUGAAUACCUCAUUCUCUUUGAGCAAACGAGUACAAUUUAAUCUGGUAAAAAGAGGAAUUUUAUAUGCCUCAAAAAAACAAGUGAUUGCGCAUACAUAUGGAGUUUAAUUAUGAAGGAAUGACGUAGUAAGGAUAUGUUUGAAAAUGCGUGUAUUCUUUGAAGAUUUCUGAGUGUCACUGAAGAAAGAAAAUGACAGUAUGACUUCAUG